GCCGGGGUAGCUCAGUCGGUAGAGCAACUGAUUCGUAAUCAGUAGGUCGGAGGUUCGAUUCCUCUCCUCGGCA
rnacentral:tRNA from 1 species